AUUGAACGCUGGCGGCAGGCCUAACACAUGCAAGUCGAACGAGUGGCGGACGGGUGAGUAAUGUCUGAGAAACUGACUGAUGGAGGGGGAUAAAUAGUGGAAACGGUAGCUAAUACCGCAAACACUCGGAUGUGCCCAGAUGGGUUUAGCGAGUAGGUGGGGUAAAGGCUCACCUAGGCGACACUCCCUAGCUGGUCUGAGAGGAUGACCGGCCACACUGGAACUGAGACACGGCCCAGACUCCUACGGGAGGCAGCAGUGGGGAAUCUUGCACAAUGGGCGAAAGCCUGAGGCAGCCCUGCCGCGUUGAUGAAAAAGGCCUUCGGUUUUUAAAGUACUUUCAGCGGGGAGGCGUUACCCGCAUAAGAAGCACCGGCUAACUCCGUGCCAGCAGCCGCGGUAAUUC
rnacentral:rRNA from 1 species